GAUCUCAUUCAACAUGUGGUUUCUCUUAUACAUUUUCAUUAUCAGCUGACUUGCAUGAGGAAAACAAAGUCAUGAUUGUAAGAUACUUGUGGUGAUAUUUAGCUUGUGGGUGUGACAUUAAUUUAUGCCUUAUACUGUAGUGAAUGCUUGGAAGAAAUAAGAUCUUCAGAAGGCUUAUUCACCACAAGACCCCGGAUUGCAGCAAUAAAUUCUCCACAAACCAGAUCUUCUGACUGAAUCCACAACCACUGUGGGUUCAACAACACAGACGCACAAGGAUCAACUUCUCUGCUAUUGUACUAUCUCUAUCUCUACCAAAUUUAAAACUACAUCCAAGCUCAAGGUUCAAGAUGAAUGCGUCCUGUGUCAUCUGGGGAAUCUUUUGGCUGAUUAUACUCCUUUUUAUUGGAUGGCCAAUUAGCAUGUUUUUGGGAGGACUGUAUGGAUUCUUCGCUCCUUUGAUCACUCUGAUAGGUCUAGAUGACUUUAGUGAACUUUUAUUGAAGGGGGUAAAUAUGGGAAGAGAAUGUGCUAUGAAUGUGCGAACAGGAAAGCCCCUCUUUUAAUAAUAAACCCUAUUACAAAUCAGGAAAUAAAGAUUCAUUCUGUGAUCUUUAAUGGACAUUGAAAGUAUUUGUGUACAUUCCUGUUUAUAGUAAAAUGAUAUUUAGGCUUUAAAUAAUACAUUAUUGAUAUUUUACAGUAUUGUAAAGAAAUAUAGUGUCAUUUCAUUUGUAAGCUGUAUGAAACCUGGGGAGUUCUGAAUAAGAACUUCAAAUAUUUGUGAGAUCUGGGUUUGAAGAGAACACCAUGUUUGCAGCUCUGAAAACUUAUGUAUUAAUACCUCUCCUUAGAUACAGUGAUGAAACUUGCAUUCCUCUUAGGGGGGAAGUUGGCUUUUGGCUUCUUAUUCUGCCUUAUAAAUUAUCAAAAGUUCAAAGUCUAAUUGUUUAUUAGUUUCAUUUCCAAACACAGUCAAUGUAUUAAUCUGUAUUAUUAUCACUAAUGUUCAUUAUAUAUAAAUUUUAUAUAAAUAUAUGUAUGGAAGUUCUUUUUAAUGAUUUAUAGAUAUGUUAUCGCUUAUGAUAAAUAAAACAUAACUUGACUGGA